GCGGGCGUAGUUUAAUGGUAAAACACGACGCUUCCAACGUUGAGUCGGGGGUUCGAUUCCUCUCGCCCGCA
rnacentral:tRNA from 1 species